rnacentral:lncRNA from 1 species
UCUCAAUUUCAAGUGAACCUCUCAGUCCACCCUGGAAGUGGUAGGUCAUGAUAUGUCAAAAACAUCAAAAUUGGUGUGUCAAUAAUUUAGUGUUGAUGAUUAGGCUGAAGACAAAACCAUGUGAUCCUUCAUGCGCAUCAACAGACCUGGUCCAAACCAUUCACUGGCUUACAUUAGAGCAUUUCGACUGUACUCUUUAAUGUUGUUGUAUAUAUACACAAAAACAUUUGGACUUAAAAGCAACACAAGUACUUACAUUCUCAAGCAUCAAGAGCUCCUUCCCUUUCAAAGUCUUUAUUGAUCUCUCUUGUUCGUCCAUAACAAAAUAUGGGUUUCCGUCUGCCUGCUAUUCUUAGUGCUAAGAAAAUUCUUCUGAGGUCUCCUUCUGCAAACCAAACAGCUUCAGUAGCCAUGGAAGUGCCAAAGGGCUACCUUGCAGUCUAUGUAGGAGAAAAGCCAAUGAAAAGAUUUGUGAUUCCAGUAUCAUACUUGAACACACCUUCGUUUCAAGACUUGUUAAUCCAUGCUGAAGAAGAAUUUGGAUAUGAUCAUCCAAUGGGUGGUAUUACGAUUCCAUGUAGUGAAAACAUGUUCAUUGAUGUCAUUUCUGGCUUAAAUUGUUCAUGAGACUUAAACUCUGAACACACAAUUUUGUAAAGAAUAGAGUUAAAAAGUACAAUGUAUACAAAAGCAUUAGCAUUGAUCAUUUACUUCUUUUUUCUUCAAGACCAUUAUAUGUUAUGUUCUACAAUUCCUUUUCUGCAUGACUUUCCUAUUCCAAUUUUCUUGUAUGUGACUUUCCUAUUGUGGAAACAGUUUCCUUCAAACCACAAUACUAAGAUUGGAUCUUAAUUGUCUUAGCAUUCAUUUGUUAUAGAUUGGACAAUAGAUUUAAAUUAGCCCACAUCUAAUUAGGAGUGUGUUCAGUUCUGGUGCCACUAUAGUUUCAGCUAACAACCAAAACUAGAACCAAACAUUUGGUUCUUUGAGUUUUAGGAAUCAGACUAGAAGGCAAAUUUUGUUUCCGAUUCCGAUUUGGUUCUAAUCCAGUUCUGAUUACCAUUCUGGGCUUAUGGAAAGUGUUUUGUAUAUAUAUAGUCCUAGCUUCAAUUGCCAUCUCAGUUUGGGUUUAAUAAUCCUCUACUUAGUUAUUUAGGGCUUGAAAAUGGUAAAUAGCAGUGACUGUGGCUUUUCUAAACAAUUGAUAGAAGAAAUUCUGGUAAAGGUCAGGUAUCAAGUACCAGCUGUGUAACCCAAAAAGCUACAGCUUUCUGAUAAGAUCAAUUUGAAGAAACUAAUAGAAAAAGAUGACUCAUACGGUCACUAUCAGGGAACUAGCAGGGAAUAUAUCAUCAUUAACUAAGGAGUAGAUAUCUUCUUUGUGACUGUCAGUGAAGGGGCUCUAAAGACAAGGUAUUGGUGGUGAAUGCUGAAGGUCAAUAUAUGUUUUCGCUUGAUCAUGAACCUCCACUAACAUGUACCAAAGGGAUGUUUAGUUGCUGCUGCAUCAAAUUAUGCACAACUUGAUCCACAUGCUAGUUCUUUUUAUUUGAUCUUUAAUUUGAAUGUACUGCCAGGCAUAUGCCGUGACACAACGCUUGCAAUUGUUGAAGUGGCAGGCCAGUAUAAAUUGCAGCUGAGAGAGAAAGAAAGGUUCUUGAAUCUGUCUUUAUCUUCAAAUUUUUUGGGAGUCAAACCAUAUGAUUGCUUAUGAAGAGUUUGUUUCAGGUACCACAUUGCAAUUUCCAGCCUGCAAAUUGAGUGUGGUUGAAAGUUUGGCUAACAUAUAUGUGAUUAGCAAGGUUAGCAAUCCAGCGCCAAAUUUUUCCUUUGAUUUCCAUAGUCUCCAAAUUCAAAAAAUCUAGCCUUGGUCAUAAAAGAAGAGCUCUAAUAUUUGUUUUGUAUUUAGUGUUAUAUUGUGCAAUGAUUGAAUCCAUAGAAGAUACCUGUAGUAUUUCGUAGGAUAAUCUGCAGUACCAUACGAAAAAGCUGGAAAUGAUAUAAUGUGUUGGCAAAGGUUCUAUAGGUUGUCAAAAUUAGUUGGCUGGUGAUGGCUACCUGAUGGUAGGGAAUGGCUAAUGUGAACUUCAGGGUGUCUUUCAGAAAAGUUGAUGGGAUGUCUGACUCAUUUGGUCGUGGUCAAAGUGAAACAUCCCACAAUUUUUGUAGCUUUCAGUUCAUCUAGUAGCUAAACAAGCUGCUGUGAAGUUCACAUGAGGGAUUCCCUACCUUCUUCAGAGUACAGAGUCCUAUCACCUCUGGAUGCUUGGAGAAUGUCCCUCCAGUAAAGAAAAAGAUUGAAAAAGUCGGCACUUUUGCUUAAAUAAUUAGUCCUCCCUGGAAGUGGUAGGUCAUGAUGUUUCAGGGAAUUCAGAAUCGGUGCAUCAAUCAUUUAUUAUAGAAGAUUAGGUUGAAGACAAAACCAUGUGAUCCUUCUUGAGUAUCACUACACCUGAUCCAAACCAUUCACUAGCUUGCAUUAGAUUAUUUCCACUGUACCUUUAGUGUUGUGUAUAUAUACACACAUAAACUUUUAGAUUUAAAAGCAUCACAUGUCCUUACAACCUCAAACAUCAAGAGCUCCUUUCUUUUGGAAGUCCUUACUGAUCUUUCUUCUGUUCAUUCAUACCAAAAUAUGGGUUUCCAUUUGCCGGCCAUUCUUCGUGCUAAGCAAAUUCUUCAGAGGUCUUCUUCUGCAAACCAAACAGCUUCCAUGGAUGUGCCAAAGGGCUACCUUGCAGUCUAUGUUGGAGAAAAGCAAAGGAAACGAUUUGUAAUUCCAGUAUCAUACUUGAACAAACCUUCAUUUCAAGAUUUAUUAAUCCAAGCUGAAGAAGAAUUUGGAUAUGAUCAUCCAAUGGGUGGUCUUACAAUUCCCUGCUGUGAAAACAUGUUCAUUGAUGUCAUUUCUUGCUUAAAUUGCUCAUGAGACUUGAACGCUGAACACACAAUUUUGUAGAGAGCGGAGUAGUAAGUGCAAUGUACACAAAGUAUUGGAAUUUAAUCAAUUAUUCUUUUAUUUCUUCAAGACCCUUUUAGAUUAUGUUCUAGAAUUUUCUUCAGCAUGAUAUUUCCUAUUGCAAUUUUCUUCUGCUUGACUUUCCUACAGUAGAGAACAUUUUCUUUUAAUAGAAGAAGGAAGCCUUUUUAUUUUCUUACCUCACUGUCGUGAAAGGAAGACUAAAAUCUCCAAGUUCUCUAGACAUUAUGCAAAUUCUUCAUGCAAAGCAAAAUAUUUCUGAUUUCAUUCCCUAUGUUCUGCUUUAACCAGUCCUACUUUGUUACAUGGACUGGCAAGCUUAUGUUGAUCAUACCAAAUAUAUGUGGUAUAUACAUGUCAUGCAUGAAACUUCCAGUGAUCAUAUUUAUCAUUUGACAGGAUAAAAACUCGAUUAGCAUUUGCUGCUAAACACAUCUUUUUGACAUUUCUUUACUUCAAAAGUAGCCUUGGCCACUAGAGCUGGCUUUGUCAAGUCUUGAGUUGACUGCUUAGGAACACAAGUUUUGACAAUUCAAUUUUUGCUUUUUCAAAGACUUUGAAAUGCAUAUCUGAAUGAAAGGUUGAGCAAACUAAAUAACUAGGAAAAAGUUUUCAGUGAUCUCAUUUUGAAGUUGUAGAUUGUAUCAAGAAAUUGUGUACAGGUUAAUGAAUUGGAUUUGCACACAAUGGGGUGUAACCUUAGGUUCUCAUUCAUCAAGCAGUGACAGAUGCUGGAACCAUUUGAUGUCUUAACAUUUAAUUUCAUCAAAAAAAUUUGAAUAAUUAUUGGUUAUUAAUCCAUAAGAAAUUUGAAAAGAUUUGCCUGUCUGUUCCGGACUUUGAAAUAAUCAUCCUAUUCGUUUUGGACAUUGAUAAAGUCAGAGAGAUUAGUGGUCUGAUUUUCAUACUUUAUAAAUCAGACUUCUAACUAUCUUGUCAAACUAUAUGAAAAGAUUUGUAUAAAUAUCUUUUAAAUUAUGUGUAUGUAUGUUAUAAUCUUAUAAAAUAAACUCUGUGUAAACGGAUGUUUAGAUGAUAAAAAAAAUUAUUUUCAUAUAUAUAUAUAUAUAUAUUAACAAUAAUUUCAUAAUAAAAGAUCAUGUAAAAUGUUUUUAUUAUUCUACAGUUAUUCUACAGGAGUAUUGUUUAUUGAUUAGAUAAUUUUUUGAAAUCAUAAAUAAAAUAAUCUAAUUAAUAAAUGUAUAUAUUUUUCUUCUAAUGUGAAUAAUUAUAUAGAAUAAAUAUAUAUAAUAGACAAAUUAUUAAUUAUAAAAAUAUUAAUUAUGAUAAAAGUAUAAAAUAAUUAAAGAAUUAAUAGAAAUUAUGUAAAAUUUUAUUCAAUUCAAAUAACUAUAAAAGAAAUUAAUAGAUAUAAAUAAUUAAAGUAUAAUAAAAGUAAAAUAGCGAUUUUAAUAUUUUAAAUCAAACGUGGAAGUUAUUAAAUUUAAAUUAUUACCGUUUAUAUAUUAAUAACUGUGAUAAUUUUAAUCUAAAAAAUAUAACUUUCAUAUAUAUUUUAUAUAUAAAACUCACUACCACAAUCUUCAUAUAUACCUUGUACUUUUUCACACAACUCUUUCUCUCUUAUAUUUCUAAAUGGCUCAUGUUUUGAUAUUUUUCUUUUUUAUUAUUCUCUUAAUAUCUAGUAUAAAAUGUAUGACCUUACAAUUUUCAACAACAAACUCAACCUUUUAGACUAUAUUGAAAUUAGAUGAAAAUUCAUUUAGAUGCUAGAAUUCUUUGAUUUAAAUUCAAGUAUGUUUUGGAAAGAUUAUUUUAUCAUUCUUUAAUAGUGAAUCAUAUUUAGACCAUAAUUAUUAUGAAACAAUUCAUACUAUUACAAAGCAGUGGCAUACUAUGAUUAAUACACUAAAUUUUACCACUAAAGAAAGUGACGUACUUAAAAGGUAAUGUGAUAAAAUAAAUAAUUCUCCACCACUACAACGUUAUCACUACAAUCGUCGCCAUGCUGGAGCUCAGUAAACUUUAUUUUACUAAAAAUAUAACUCAUUGAAUGGAACAUGUUAUUGGAUGUUAAAAAUAUAUGAUAAUCAGUACCAAAACCUUUAAUUCUCUUUGGUGCAAUUGAGUUUGAUGAUGUAUGAUUUUGUGCUUGAUUAAUAUUUCAAGUGUUUAAAUUUCUUACUAUAGAAUUGAAAAUCAUAUAUAUUGGUUGGAUUUCUAAUUCUUCUCUACAAUUAUUUUUUUUGUUUGUAGGUAAUAGAUAGCCUAUUUAAUUAAUAUACAAAAUAAAUUAUAUAGAUAAAAGUAAACAUUUUAUUCUGUAAAAAAUUAUUUUUCCUUACAUUAUUUUCAAACACAAGAGGUAAAAUAAAAUUGUUAUGAUUCAUUCUCUAUUAAUCAACAGAUUUUAUUCGUAAAAGAUUAGUAUGAAUAAUCUAAUAAGUAAAAGAAUUUAAUGGGGCAGAAUCUGGGUGACUCCCCCAGCUAACUGCAUUCUUUGCACGCAGACACUAGCUAAAUUUCUCUACUUAUAACCCAUGUAACAAUUUUGGUUAAUUGAGAAAUGGAAGUAAAUAUAUUUCAUUCUUUUAUUGUUAACAUCUCGUGCAUAUAAUAGCUUUGCAAAAUCAAGUUAAGCCAAAUUUUCUUCAGCUUGUUGCCAUUUCUUCCUUCCUUUGUCCUAAGUUUAUGCUUUUAUUAUAUUUAUAUAUACUAAAAUAUAUGAUCAGGUGGUUAAGAGCCAUUACUAUGAAAAGAAAAUUUAAUGUAUGCUUUGCUUGGUUUAAAAUUUAAUGGUAAACAACAAAAUUCUUUGAUUAACUCAAAAAAAAAAAAAAAAUCAAACCAUAUUAAUUCAUUAAGUUUUUAUCUAGUUCAAUUGCAUCUAACUAAUAAAAAUAAUAACUAAUGGCGCUACACCUAAUCUAUCAUCAUUUAAAAAAUGAAGUACUUUUCAUGGGAAAAGUGUUGGAUAUUUAAUAAAUUAUUUUAAAAGAAUUAUAAAUAAUUUAAAAUAUUUUAAAAUAAGUUACAGAUUUUAAAUUGGUUAAAAAGAUUUUUUCCAUUUUAAAUUAUCUUAAUCUUUAUCCUAACUUAAUCAUAUUUUUAGUUGAUAUUGUGGAAAUCUAAAUUUUUAUCUGAAUCAUAUUUUUAAUUGAUAUUACGUUAAUAUUGUUGCUGUUCUUGCUUCUAGGUUACUUGUAAUUCAGAAGGCUUGUUGCGCCAACCGCAGGCGAAUAGGCUUGUUGAAUCCUGAAGGAUACACAACCGCAUGCGAAUUAUCUUUAAGGACAGUUAUUAUUAUCACACCUCAAACAAUAUUCUGCUCAUCUUUCAUUUAAUUUCUAUAUCUUUUUCUACCACUUUUGAACAAUUUUAAAAACAAUGGCUAAAAUUAUUUCUCCUAACAAUACUUCCAUUACUGACCUGUUAAUCCUUCUACUACUGGCAUUCCAAGUGGUGUUUCUACAUGCAAUCUGCCAUGAUAAUGUCCAAGCCAUUCUUAGAUGUCUCCAAAAUUGAACAGUCCAUGCUGGGAAUGUGUAUUUUCAGUUCUUGAUAUGCAUGGAGUUGCUUUUGCUCUCACCGAUGUGAAACCUGCACAAACUUCCAACAAACAAUGGAAAUUAUGGGUUCAUGCUAAUAAGGUAUAUAGCUACACUAUUAUUAGCAUAUUAUCUAACGAUCUCUUUGAUAUUUAUUGUUCUUAUGAAAAAGCAAAACAAAUAUGGGAGUCCAGCCUACUUUGUUACAUGGACAGGCAAGUUUAUGUUGAUCAUACCAAAUAUACGUGGUAUAUACAUGUCAUGCAUGAAACUUCCAGUGAUCAUAUUUAUCAUUUGACAGGAUAAAAACUCGAUUAGCAUUUGCUACUAAACACAUCUUUUUGACAUUUCUUUACUUCAAAAGUAGCCUUGGCCAAUACAGCUGGCUUUGUCAAGUGUUGAGUUGACUGCUCAGGAACACAAGUUUUGACAAUUCAAUUUUUGCUUUUUCAAAGACUUUGAAAUGCAUAUCUGAAUGAAAGGUUGAGCAAACUGAAUUACUAGGAAAAAGUCUUCGGUGAUCUCAUUUUGAAGUUGUAGAUUGUAUCAAGAAAUUGUGUACAAGUUAAUGAAUUGCAUUUGCAGAAAAUGGGGUGUAACCUUAGGUUCUCAUUCAUGAAGCAGUCACAUUGAUCCACAUGUUCUAUAUAUUUGUAUCUUUAGUUUGAAUGGACCAUCAGUUAUAUGUCAUGACGCAAUGCUUUCAAUUAUUAAAGUGGCAGGCCAUAUAAAUUGCAGCAGAGAGAAAAAAAAAUGGUUCUUGAAUCUGUCUCUAUCUUCAAAUUUUUUGGGAGUCAAACCAUAUGAUUACUUAUGAGAAGUUUGUUUCAGGGUACCACAUUGGAAUUUCCAGCAAGCAAAUUGAGUAUGGUUGAAAGUUUGGCUUACAUAUAUGAGGUUAGCAAGGUUAGCAAUCCAAUGCCAAAUUUUUCUUUGAUUUCCAGUCUUUGGAAAUUCAAAAAUCUAACCAUGGUCAUAAAAGAAGAGCUGUGAUAUUUGUUUCUGUUUUGAGUAUUAUAACGUGCAAUGAUUGAAUCCAUAGAAGAUACCUGGAGUAUUUCAUAGGAUAAUCUGCAGUACUAUACGGAAAAGCAGGAAAUGAUAUAAUGUGUUGGCAAAGGUACUAUAGGUUGUCAAAAUUAGUUGGCUGGUGAUGGGUACCUGAUGGUAGGGAAUGGCUAAUGUGAACUCCAGCGCGUCUUGUCAGAAAAAAAUGAUGAUCUGAAGCUAAAAAAUGAUGGGAUAUUUGCAGGUUUGCUUUUGAUUAGAAAAGAUUUGUAGAACCUUAUCAUCAAUGUAGUUGAAUCUCUUCAGUGAAAAGGAAGAUUUUAGGGUCGUUGACAAAGUGAAACAUCCCACAAUUUUCGUAACUUUCAGUUCGUCAAGUAGCUAACAAGUUGCUAUGAAGUUCACAUGAAGGAUUCCCUACCUGCUUCAGAGUUCAGAGCUCAAUCACCUCUGAAUGCUUAAAUAAUUAGUCCCGCCUGGAAGUGGUGGGUCAUGAUAUUUCAGGGAAUUCAGAAUUGGUGCAUCAAUCAUUUAUGAUAGACGAUUAGGUUGAAGGCAAAACCAUGUGAUCCUUCAUGAGUAUCACUAGACCUGAUCCAAACCACUCAUUAGCUUGCAUUAAAGCAUUUCCACUGUACCUUAAUGUGUAUUGUAUAUAUAUAUAUGCACAAAACAUUUAGAUUUAAAAGCAUCACAGGUCCUUACAAUCUCAAGCAUCAAGAGCUCCUUUCUUUUGGAAGUCCUUACUGAUCUUUCUACUGCUCAUUCAUAUUCAGAAUAUGGGUUUCCGUCUACCUGCUAUUCUUCGUGCUAAGCAAAUUCUUCAGAGGUCUUCUUCUGCAAACCAAACAGCUCCAAUAGCCAUGGAUGUGCCAAAGGGCUACCUUGCAGUCUAUGUUGGAGAAAAGCGAAAGAAGCGAUUCGUGAUUCCAGUAUCAUACUUGAACAAACCAUCAUUUCAAGAUUUAUUAAUCCAAGCUGAAGAAGAAUUUGGAUAUGAUCAUCCAAUGGGUGGCCUUACAAUUCCCUGCAGAGAAAACAUGUUCAUUGAUGUUAUUUCUUGCUUAAAUUGUUCAUGAGACUUAAACUUUGAACACGCAAUUUUGUAAAGAAUAGAGUAGCAAGUACAAUGUACACAAAAAGCGUUGGAAUAUUUUUUCAAAAUUUUCUCCAAGACCAUUAUUGAUUACGUUCACAAUUUUCUUCUGCAUGAUUUUCCUAUUAUAAUUUUUAUAUAUUUCUUUCAAUAGAAGAAGGAAUAUUUGUGAUUUUCCUACAUCAGAGUUCUGAAAGGAAGAUUAAAAUAUGGAAACCUCCGAGUUCUCUAGCAAUUAUGCAAAGCACAAUAUUUCUGAUUUCAUUCCCUAUGUUCUGCUUUAACCAGUUCUACUUUGUUAGAUUUGCAGAAUAUGGGGUGUAUGUUUAGAUUCUUAUUCAUCAAGCAGUGACAGAUUCUGGAACCAUUUGAUAUCUUAACAUUCAAUUUACAUCCAAAAAAUUGAAUAACUACUGUUAUUAAACCUAUCAAUAUCCUUACAAUUAAAUCAGUUUAUUUCUCCAAAAACAACACUUUAAUUUGAACCGAACUAGUUGAAAUCCAAUUAAAAUUUCAAUUAUCUCAGCAUCUAAAAUAGAAGUUUCGCCAAUAUUUAAACCGAAACCGAAAUCUUUUAAUAUGUGUUAUCAAUAUAUAAUAUUUUAUAUAAUAAAAAUUUAUUUAAUAUAAUAUAUUUAAUAUUGUAUAAAAUAUAUAUAAAUAUCACUUGUAAUUUAUCAUUAAUUUAUAUAUAACUAUAAUUAUAGCAAAUUAAAAAGGUUAAUUUUAUCAUUAAAUAUCAUAUAUAUAUAUAUAAAUAAAUUAUUAAAAAUAUUUAAAUUUUUUAAUAUCUAAAAAUAAAUUAAAUUUUCUAAUUUUUUAAAAAUGUAAUAUUUAGUGGCACCAUUGAUUUUACUAUCUAGUUCCAUAAUUUUAAAAUAAAUUAAGAGUUCUUAAUUUUAUAAAAGUGUAAUAUUUAAUUACUUCAUUAAUUUUAAUUUUACUAUUUAGUCCAUAGUUUUUAAAAAUUUACUCAAGUUUUUAAAGUAUUUAUUAAUUAAAAAAAUCUUAAAAUUUCAAUGAAGUUUUAAUAAAAGGAUCAACAAUAAGUUUUUCCAUAGUAUUAAUUUUGAUGCGGCUGUAAUUAGGAAUCGGAGGAAGCGUUCGAUUGCAGCUACAUACAGAGAUUGUAGAGGGACCCCCUGUGGCUGGUCGUGCAAGCUAGUUCGAGGAAUUGUCUCUCCGCUGGUUUUGGAAACUAUGGCAUGCAGAUCAGCUCUUUGCUUGGUCAGUCGAAAGGUUUCAGGGAUAUAGUGGUCGAAGGGAGUGAGUGAUGGUGUAUCUAGCAGUUAGUAUUGUGUAACGUGUCUCACUUGCUUGAUGAAAUACCUAAAAGAAAUAUUGUUUGUGAAUGGCUAUAGUUGUUUAUGGUUUUUGUUUGAUUUUACCAACUACAACUUUAAGAUUUUGUUUACUGUGAACAGCACAUGGUGAUCGUUGUCUUCUCUACCGUUUUUAAACCGCUGGGUAUGAGUAGGUCAUUACGCACUUUUGUAAUGAAAGGCAAAAAGCCAUUUGAUAACUUAUGAACUGAGAAACAAAGCAAGUAUAAACCGAGUUUGCAAGAUAAUGCUGGUGCUGUUUCUCAUUUUUCUAUGAUUCAUACUUUCGUUAGUAGUUUAUCUGUGAUGAAGCUGUAAUAUUAUUAUUAUUGUUAUUAUUAUUUCAUUUAAUUUUAUCAAUUCAAUAAUUGAAUCCAUAGAAUAUAUGUGUAGUAUAUCAAUUGGAGAUAUCAACGUACUAUACGGAAAAGCAGCAUUAGAUUUAUUUGUUUGAUCAAUCAUACGAAAGAGUACUAAGGGUUUGCUGGUGAUGGAGACAGGAUGGUAGGGAAUGGCUCCUGUGAACUUCAGAGCACUGCAGGUAAAAAAAUGCUGAAUCUGAUUCAUUCAUGAGAGUUUAAUAUCAUACAGGUUUGCUUUGGAAGAAAAGAUUUUAGAACCUUAUCAUAAAACAAUUUUUUUUUUCUUUUCUGGAAAAAAGAUUUUACUGUCUUGUAAAAAUGAAACAUCCCACCAUUUUUGUUGUAACGUUUUCAAGUAGCUAAACAAGGUGGUGUGAAAUUCACAUGAAGGUUUCCCUACCUUCUUCAGAGUCCUAUCACAUCUGGAUGCCUGGACCAUGCCCCUCCUGUGAAGAAAAAAGAUUGAAUAGGUCAGCUCUUUGCUUAAAUAAUUAGUAUGAACCUGCCAAAUUCUCAAUUUCAAGUGAACCUCUUAGUCCACCCUGGAAGUGGUAGGUCAUGUCAAAAAAAUCAAAAUUGGUGUGUCAAUAAUUUAGUGUUGAUGAUUAGGCUGAAGACAAAACCAUGUGAUCCUUCAUGCGCAUCAACAGACCUGGUCCAAACCAUUCACUGGCUUACAUUAGAGCAUUUCCACUGUACCCUUUCAUGUUGUUGUAUAUAUACACAAAAACCUUUGGACUUAAAAGCAACACAAGUACUUACAUUCUCAAGCAUCGAGAGCUCCUUUCCUUUCAAAGUCUUUAUUGAUCUCUCUUGUUCGUCCAUAACAAAAUAUGGGCUUCCGUCUGCCUGCUAUUCUUAGUGCUAAGAAAAUUCUUCUGAGGUCCCCUUCUGCAAACCAAACAGCUUCAGUAGCCAUGGAAGUGCCAAAGGGUUACCUUGCAGUCUAUGUAGGAGAAAAGCCAAUGAAAAGAUUUGUGAUUCCAGUAUCAUACUUGAACACACCUUCGUUUCAAGACUUGUUAAUCCAAGCUGAAGAAGAAUUUGGAUAUGAUCAUCCAAUGGGUGGUCUUACAAUUCCAUGUAGUGAAAACAUGUUCAUUGAUGUCAUUUCUGGCUUAAAUUGUUCAUGAGAGUUAAACUCUGAACACACAAUUUUGUAAAGAAUAGAGUUAAAAAGUACAAUGUAUACAAAAGCAUUUGCAUUAAUCAUUUACUCUUUUUUUUUUUUAAUUUCUUCAAGACCAUUAUAUGUUAUGUUCUACAAUUCCUUUUCUGCAUGACUUUCCUAUUCCAAUUUUCUUCUAUGUGACUUUCCUAUUGUGGAAACAGUUUCUUUCAAACCACAAUACUAAGAUUGGAUCUUAAUUGUCUUAACAUUCAUUUGUUAUAGAUUGGACAAUGGAUUUAAAUUAGUCCACAUCUAAUUAGGAGUGUUCUGGUGCCACUAUAGUUUUAGCUAACAACCAAAAUUAGAACUGUUAUAAGUUAUAGAAAGUAAAUAUGUUAAUAUAGGAAGUAAAUAUUGAUAGAUGGGUCAGUUGCUUAAUUUUAGGGAUUGUAUAAUCAUAGGCUUGAUUUUCCUUGCUGUUUAGAUACCGUCUUUCAUGUAUAAAUAGGUUGUAAUCUCUAUUGUGAAAUAUAACAAAAUAUUAUCCUUUUACAUGGUAUCAAAGCCAUUCUCGUAGAGAUUUAAUUUUUUGAAAUAUAACAAAAUAUUAUCCUUCUACAUGGUAUCAAAGCCAUUCUCGUAGAGAUUUAAUUUUUUCUCUCGUCAAGUUUUAAAAUUUUUUAGAGACUUAGGGCUCUGUUCAUUUGGGUUACCCAUAAAGGGUAAUAUUUGGAUCUCACCAUCGCCAGAGUCGCCACACCAUUCCCUUGUCAGAUCUGAGGUUUGUUUGCCUUUCGGGUGUUGGGUGGAGGUGUUUUAGGUAUUAUUCAUAUUCGGGUAUUGUUCAUCGGCACUGUUCAUGGUACUGUUCAUCAGUACUGUUCACGGUUGGUUGUCCUUAUGGCUGAAGUUAAAACCACCACCGUAACUAAUGUGAUUCCUAUGAUAACUAAAAUCACGGAACACAAAUUGAAUGGAUCUUCCAAUCAGGGAGUUUUGAUAUUUGCAGAUGAGUAUGCACAAUUCAUCCAAUACCAGGCAUCUCUAAAAUCCUCUAAUUCCUCCUCUAUCACUGCAAUUGCCGAGUCAGGUAACUCUACUGCAUGUCUUGUGUCUUCAUCCUCCAAAUGGGUUAUUGAUUAUGGUGCUACCGAUUAUAUGUCAGGUAAUUCUACCAUUUUGUCCAAUUUUGAGUCUCAUACAUCGCCUUUUUAUGUUACUCUUGCUGAUGGCACUAAAUCUUCUGUCAUGGGUUCUGGUCAUGUCAACUUAACCCCUUCUCUUUCUGUAUCCUCUGUGUUAUAUCUUCCUAAGUUCGCGUUUAAUUUGCUUUCCGUGAGUAAACUCACUCGUGCAUUGAAUUGUUGUGUCUCAUUCUUUCCUGAUCACUGUGUUUUUCAGGAUCUUUCGACGAAGCAGAUUAUUGGUAGAGGGAGUGAAUCAGAGGGUCUUUACGUCUUGGAUCAGCAACUACCUCGAUCUCCUCGAUCUCUGGUAUGCUCCACGCGUUUAACACCUUUUGAUGUUCAUUGUCGUUUGGGGCAUCCUUCUCUCUCGGCUUUGAAGAAGUUAUAUCCACAGUUUCAUUCUUUGUUUAUUGUAGAUUGUGAGUCUUGUCAAUUUGCCAAACAUCAUCGUUUACCUACACUGCCUCGAGUCAAUAAACGGGCUUCGUCCCCCUUUGAGUUAGUCCAUUCAGAUGUUUGGGGUCCUUGUCCUGUGGUGUUUAAGUCUGGCUUUAAGUAUUUUGUUACUUUUGUUGAUGAUUUCUCUCGUACUACUUGGUUAUUUUUAAUGAAGAGUCAUUCAGAAUUAUUUUCUAUUUUUUAUGCAUUUUAUGCUGAAAUCCAAACCCAAUUCAAUACUUCCAUCCGUAUAUUGCAAAGUGAUAAUGCUAAAGAGUAUCUCUCUGGGGAAUUUCAAUCUUAUUUGUUACAAAAAGGGAUUCUUCAUCAGUCCUCUUGUGUUGCCACUCCUUCACAAAAUGGAGUUGCUGAAAGAAAAAAUCGACAUCUUCUUGAAGUAGCCAGAGCCCUCUUAUUCCAAAUGAAGGUACUUAAAUGUUUUUGGGCUGAUGCUGUAUCCACUAGUUUUUGAUCAAUCGCAUGCCUUCCUCCAUCCUUCAUGGUGAUAUCCCUUAUAACAUUUUGUUUCCCACUAAAUUUUUGUUUCCUAUUGAGCCACGUAUCUUUGGUUAUACUUGUUUUGCUCAUGAUGUUCGUCCACAGGUUACUAAAUUGGAUCCCAAAUCACUCAAAUGUGUCUUCCUUGGCUACUCUCGACGUUAGAAAGGGUAUCGUUGUUUUUCUCCUGAUCUGAAUCGGUAUCUUGUGUCUGUGGAUGUAACAUUCUUUGAGUCCACUCUGUUUUUUCUGCCAUCAUCUGUUUAUAACACCCAGGAGGAGGAAGAUGACCUCUUGUUAUACACUGUUCGCUCUCUGUCUCCUCAGACUACUCCUAUGCCUUCCGCUCAUGUGUCAGGUCGCCCUUCCAUCUUUCAUGUAUAUUCCAGACGCUUAGAGGACUCUGAAUCCAUUCCGCUCCGCUUCUUCGUCGACCGAUCCUGCUCCCACUGAUCCUUCACUGUCUGAUUUGGAUUUGCCCAUUGCUCUUCGCAAAGGUAAACGUACUUGCACUUAUCCUAUUUCAUCUUGUGUCUCUUAUGAUCAAUUAUCCUCCUCUUCUCGUUGUUUUGUCACUGCUUUAGAUUCUAUUUCAAUUCCCAAAACUGUUAUUGAGGCUUUGUCCCAUCUUGGUUGGCGUGCUGCAAUGGAAGAGGAAAUGAUGGCCCUUGACACUAAUGGUACUUGGGAGUUGAUGUCCUUGCCCCCAGGAAAGCGGGCUAUUGGGUGUAAAUGGGUGUUUGCAGUGAAAGUAAACCCUGAUGGAUCUAUUGCUCGCCUCAAGGCCCGUUUAGUGGCCAAAGGUUAUGCACAAACUUAUGGAGUUGACUAUUCUGAUACAUUCUCCCCAGUUGCCAAUCUAGCAUCUGUCCGAUUAUUUAUUUCCUUGGCGGCUACUCAUGAUUGGCCUUUGCAUCAACUGGAUAUUAAAAAUGUUUUUCUUCAUGGUGAUCUUCAGGAGGAGGUUUAUAUUGAGCAACCACUUGGUUUUGUUGCUCAGGAGGAGUCAGGUAAGGUUUGUAGACUUCGAAAAUCCCUUUAUGGCUUGAAACAGAGUCCUCGAGCAUGGUUUGGCAGGUUUAGUGAGGUGGUCCAACAGUUUGGAAUGAAGAUGAGUAAGUGUGAUCACUCAGUGUUUUAUAGAAAUUCUGAUAGUGAAGUAAUUCUGCUUGUAGUAUAUGUGGAUGAUAUCGUUAUUACAGGAAGUGACAUUGCUGGCAUCACAUCCCUAAAAGAAUUUCUUAAAACACAGUUUCAUACAAAGGAUUUGGGUUCCUUGAAAUAUUUCUUGGGAAUCGAAGUUAUGCGGUGUAAGAAAUGCAUCUUCCUAUCUCAAAGAAAAUAUGUUCUUGAUUUGUUGGAAGAAACAGAAAAAUUGGGUGCUAAGCCUUAUAGUGCCCCAAUGACCCCUAACCUUCAACUUACCACAGAAGACAGUGAGCCAUUUGCAGAUCCUGGAAAGUAUAGAAGAUUAGUUGGCAAGCUGAAUUAUUUGACGGUGACUCGUCCUGAUAUUGCAUAUUCAGUGAGUGGUAAGUCAGUUUAUGUAUAAGGCCCAGGCCUAGGCCCAUAAAAAAAAAAAAAAGAGAGGAGAGAGCAAUAAAGCUCUGGUUUCGGGAAUGUCCCGAAACAUUCCCGAAACCCAUCCGUCUCCCUCCUCCAAAAACAGAGCUUGCUCUGUUAGUUUAAAAAAAAAAAAAUCCUUCUCUUUAAUCCAAAUCUCCUUCCUCUCAACCCAUAAACUUUUGAAAUCCUCAGCUAGAUCCUAUUUUAAAUCUAUAUCCUACUCAGAAAUUCAAUAUUUUCUUACAGAGGUUCCAAAAUUGGGUAGGUGAGUUUUAUCCCUUUUAUUCGAUUUAUUGCGAUAUAGUUUAUUUUCUCUACCUUUUAAUAGUGAUUUUUGUGAUUUGAGGAUAAAAAUGGGUUAUGUUUUAGUUAGCUCCAAUCAAUGGGGUUUUAUAUUUCUUUUUGGGAUUAAUGAUUUUCUUAGGUUGAUCUAAAUAAUAUUUAUAGGUUAUUGAGUAUUUUUGUUAAGGUUGUUCAUUUUUGGGAGGUUUAACUAUGCCGAAAUUUUCUUAAAAAUAUAUAUAAAAAUAUAUUUAAAAUUUCGUAUUUUACAUUUUAUAUUAUUAUCCUAGUAGAUUUAUUUAUUAUUUGAUAUAUUAUUUUCUUUUUACUUCUAGUAAAUUUCAUUCCUUCCCCAUCGUCCACUCAGAGUCUAGAGGAGGUCGGACCAAUUCUAGGUCUUUUGUCUUUUCUUUUUGUAAUUUUGGUGGAUCAUGUAUAAAUUGGACAGCCCAGUGAAAAAUGUAUUUUGUUUAUUGUAAAUAUAUUAUGGAUUGACUAGUCCAGCUAUCAAUCCUCUCCUAUAUGUUUUAUAAUUUGAAAUUAUAGCAGGUUAAAUGUGUUCAUAUGUAUAAAUAUUAGGGGGAACUCUGUCAGUUUUCCUGGUCAUAUCCGUCUCUACAGAUUAGAGAAUGGGUGUGACAUUAUGUCUUCUCUUACUGUUGCCCAGUGGGAUGCUUUGGAACAGAUUCUUUGUUACCUUAAAGGGGCCCCAGGACGAGGCCUAUUCUAUGGUAACCAUGAGCUCUCAAAUAUUGAAUGCUUUUCUGAUGCUGAUUGGGCAGGCUCGAAAGUUGAUAGAAGGUCAACUACUGGGUAUUGUGUUUUUGUGGGAGGUAACUUGAUCUCAUGAAAAAGUAAGAAGCAAAAUGUGGUCUUCCGUUCUAGUGCUGAAUCUAAAUAUCGAGCCAUGGCACAAGCUGUUUGUAAAAUCUUGUGGGUACGUCAACUAUUGGAAGAAGUUGGGUUCACAAAUUCGGUGCCUGCUAAGUUGUGGUGUGAUAAUCAAGCAGCUAUUCACAUUGCCUCUAAUCCAGUAUUUCACGAGAGAACUAAACACAUCGAGAUUGAUUGUCAUUUUGUUCGUGAAAAGGUCCAACAAAAGAUAAUAUCAACAGGACAUAUCCGAACUGGAGAACAAUUAGGAGAUAUUUUCACUAAAGCUCUAAAUGGGACUCGAGUUGAUUAUAUAUGUAACAAGUUGGGCAUGAUUAACAUUUAUGAUCCAACUUGAGGAGGAGUGUUAUAAGUUAUAGAAAGUAAAUAUGUUAAUAUAUGAAGUAAAUAUUGAUAGAUGGGUCAGUUGUUGCUUAAUCUUAGGGAUUGUAUAAUCAUAGGCUUGAUUUUCCUUCCUGUUUAAAUACCGUCUCUAAUGUAUAAAUAGGUUGUAAUCUCUAUUGUGAAAUAUAACAAAAUAUUAUCCUUUUACAAGAACCAAACAUUUGGUUCUUUGAUUUUUAGGAAUCAGACUAGAAGACAAAUUUUGUUUCCAAUUCCGAUUUGGUUCUAAUCCAGUUCUGAUUACCAUUCUGGGCUUAUGGAAAAUGUUUUGUAUAUAUAUAGUCCUACCAUCAAUUGCCAUCACAGUUUGGGUUUAAUAAUUCUCUACUUAGUUAUUUAGGGCUUGAAAAUGGUUAAUAGCAGUGGCUGUGGCUUGUCUAAUUAAUUGAUAGAAGAAAUUCUGGUAAAGGUCAGGUAUCAAGUAUGUUAUGUAUCAGCAUUUCCAGCUGUGUAACCCAAAAAGCUACAGCUUUCUAAUAAGAUCAAUUUGAAGAAACUAAUAGAAGAAGAUGAUUCAUACGGUCACUAGCAGGGAAUAUAUCAUCAUUAACUAAGGAGGGGAUAUCUUUUUUGUGACUGUCAGUGAAGGAGAUAUCAUCAUUCAAUCAUAUGUUUUCGCUUGAUCAUGAACCUCCACUAACAUGUACCGAAGGGAUGUUUAGUUGCUGCUGCAUCAAAUUAUGCACAACUUGAUCCACAUGCUAGUUCUUUUUAUUUGAUCUUUAGUUUGAAUGUACUGUCAGGCAUAUGUCAUGACACAACGCUUGCAAUUGUUGAAGUGGCAGGCCAGUAUAAAUUGCAGCAGAGAGAAAAAAAGGUUCUUGAAUCUGUCUUUAUCUUCAAAUUUUUUGGGAGUCAAACCAUAUGAUUGCUUAUGAAAAGUUUGUUACAGGGUACCACAUUGGAAUUUCCAGCUAGCAAAUUGAGUGUGGUUGAAAGUUUGGCUAACAUAUAUGUGAUUAGCAAGGUUAGCAAUCCAGUGCCAAAUUUUUCUUUGAUUUCCAUAGUCUUCCAAAUUCAAAAAAUCUAGCCUUGGUCAUAAAAGAAGAGCUCUAACAUUUGUUUUGCAUUUCUUUUUAUAUUGUGCAAUGAUUGAAUCCAUAGAAGAUACCUGUAGUAUUUCGUAGGAUAAUCUGCAGUACUAUACGGAAAAGCAGGAAAUGAUAUAAUGUGUUGGCAAAGGUUGUAUAGGCUGUCAAAAUUAGUUGGCUGGUGAUGGGUACCUGAUGGUAGGGAAUGGCUAAUGUGAACUUCAGGGUGUCUUUCAGAAAAGUUGAUGGGAUGUCUGACUCAUUUGGCCGUGGUCAAAGUGAAACAUCCCACAAUUUUUGUAACUUUCAGUUCUUCGAGUAGUUAAACAAGCUGCUGUGAAGUUCACAUGAGGGAUUCCCUACCUUCUUCAGAGUACAGAUGCCAUCACCUCUGGAUGCUUGGAGAAUGUCCCUCCUGUAAAGAAAAAGAUUGAAAAAGUCGGCACUUUUGCUUAAAUAAUUAGUCCUCCCUGGAAGUGGUAGGUCAUGAUGUUUCAGGGAAUUCAGAAUCGGUGCAUCUAUCAUUUAUUAUAGAAGAUUAGGUUGAAGACAAAACCAUGUGAUCCUUCAUGAGUAUGACUACACCUGAUCCAAACCAUUCACUAGCUUGCAUUAGAUUAUUUCCACUGUACCUUUAAUGUUAUGUGUAUAUAUACACACAUAAACAUUUAGAUUUAAAAGCAUCACAAGUCCUUACAACCUCAAACAUCAAGAGCU